GAUGAACGCUGGCGGCGUGCCUAAUACAUGCAAGUCGAGCGAACAGACGAGGAGCUUGCUCCUUUGACGUUAGCGGCGGACGGGUGAGUAACACGUGGAUAACCUACCUAUAAGACUGGGAUAACUUCGGGAAACCGGAGCUAAUACCGGAUAACAUGUUGAACCGCAUGGUUCAACAGUGGAAGACGGUCUUGCUGUCACUUAUAGAUGGAUCCGCGCCGCAUUAGCUAGUUGGUAAGGUAACGGCUUACCAAGGCAACGAUGCGUAGCCGACCUGAGAGGGUGAUCGGCCACCCUGGAACUGAGACACGGUCCAGACUCCUACGGGAGGCAGCAGUAGGGAAUCUUCCGCAAUGGGCGAAAGCCUGACGGAGCAACGCCGCGUGAGUGAAGAAGGUCUUCGGAUCGUAAAACUCUGUUAUUAGGGAAGAACAAAUGUGUAAGUAACUAUGCACGUCUUGACGGUACCUAAUCAGAAAGCCACGGCUAACUACGUG
rnacentral:rRNA from 1 species